rnacentral:rRNA from 1 species
AUGUGUGAUCAAUAUGUCCUAGAAACCAGAGAUCGUCUAUUUUUUCACUACGAUUUUGCACAAAUUUGCUGGAAAUAUGUUUGCCCCAAUUCAUCUCAUCUGUCAGAAGGGAUUCAAGAUCAGAUUAGUAACUUGCACACCAUGCUUCAUAUUUCAUUUGCCAUGAACAGAAUCAUUUUGAUUUCUUGGGCCAUAUGGAACACUCGCAGUGAGUUCAUUUUCAGAGAUAUCACUCCCAGUCUAUAUGCUUGCAGAAGCAGAUUCAAAGAUGGGCUUCAAUGGUUGGUCCACAGAGCCAAAAUAAAAUUAUAUGCUACACUCUCAGAUUGGGCUGAAUCUUUCAGAUAG